AGUCGAGGGGUAUUUAUCUUCGGAUAGAGAGACCGGCGCACGGGUGCGUAACGCGUAUGCAAUCUACCUUUUACAGAGGGAUAGCCCAGAGAAAUUUGGAUUAAUACCUCAUAGUAUGCAGAGUUGGCAUCAACACUGCAUUAAAGUCACAACGGUAAAAGAUGAGCAUGCGUCCCAUUAGCUAGUUGGUAAGGUAACGGCUUACCAAGGCUACGAUGGGUAGGGGUCCUGAGAGGGAGAUCCCCCACACUGGUACUGAGACACGGACCAGACUCCUACGGGAGGCAGCAGUGAGGAAUAUUGGACAAUGGGCGCAAGCCUGAUCCAGCCAUGCCGCGUGCAGGAUGACGGUCCUAUGGAUUGUAAACUGCUUUUAUACGAGAAGAAACACUGCUUCGUGAAGCAGCUUGACGGUAUCGUAAGAAUAAGGAUCGGCUAACUCCGUGCCAGCAGCCGCGGUAAUACGGAGGAUCCAAGCGUUAUCCGGAAUCAUUGGGUUUAAAGGGUCCGUAGGCGGUUUAAUAAGUCAGUGGUGAAAGCCCAUCGCUCAACGGUGGAACGGCCAUUGAUACUGUUAAACUUGAAUUAUUAGGAAGUAACUAGAAUAUGUAGUGUAGCGGUGAAAUGCUUAGAGAUUACAUGGAAUACCAAUUGCGAAGGCAGGUUACUACUAAUGGAUUGACGCUGAUGGACGAAAGCGUGGGUAGCGAACAGGAUUAGAUACCCUGGUAGUCCACGCCGUAAACGAUGGAUACUAGCUGUUGGAAAGCAU
rnacentral:rRNA from 1 species